rnacentral:rRNA from 1 species
AUUGAACGCUGGCGGCAGGCCUAACACAUGCAAGUCGAACGGGAUCUUCGGAUCUAGUGGCGGACGGGUGAGUAACGCGUGGGAACGUACCCUUUGGUUCGGAAUAGCCCUGGGAAACUGGGAGUAAUACCGGAUACGGUCGAGAGACGAAAGAUUUAUCGCCGAAGGAUCGGCCCGCGUUGGAUUAGGUAGUUGGUGGGGUAAUGGCCUACCAAGCCGACGAUCCAUAGCUGGUUUGAGAGGAUGAUCAGCCACACUGGGACUGAGACACGGCCCAGACUCCUACGGGAGGCAGCAGUGGGGAAUCUUAGACAAUGGGGGAAACCCUGAUCUAGCCAUGCCGCGUGAGCGAUGAAGGCCUUAGGGUUGUAAAGCUCUUUCGUGGGGGAAGAUAAUGACUGUACCCCAAGAAGAAGCCCCGGCUAACUCCGUGCCAGCCGCCGCGGUAACAC